UCUGCAUCCUGCAGAGGUGCACACGGUUCCUGUGGGACAGCAGAAAAUGUAUAAGCUAUACACAGGCUGCUGAGCAGAUGCCAUACGCUCUCAUGCUUAAUCUAUUCCUGGACCUGGGCUACAGAAAUGUGCCAAGAAAAAGGUAUACAAGUUAUUACCCUGAAAGGAAAGAAUCAAAACGAAAUUCAACAGGUGUCACCCAAGGAUGUUGGCCUAGGAAGGCACUCCCUGGAUGCGGCGCCAUGCUGUGGGGUGCCUGUGGCUGUGGGGUGUGCCUGGGCCCGCCAUAGGUCCAGGGCAGCCUAGGGCGGGUGUGGAUGGGAGCCUGCAGGGCUGGGGUCUCAGUGGAGCGGGAAUCCUGUCUUGGCCCCAGGAUCUUCCUGCAGUGCUUCAGAUAACAUUUUUCUAGGCUGCAGGAAGAUUUCCAGGAGCUUCCUUGAGAUGACUGCAGCCUUGUUUGCGUCCUUGGUGAAUACGUAGAUGUUUCACGAUUCUUGGUCAUUUCUGAAUCCGGGAGAUCGACGCUGAGUCCUACUGGCGCUCCUGCUGCCUCGCUGGGCUCACUGCCUGGGCCAGCCCAGAUGCAGCCUCUCGCCUGGAGGGUAUUCAUGAAGGAGGCCAGUGUCAAGCAACUCCACCCUAUGGAUUCUGUUUCAGAUAAAACAUGCUCAUUUGGCCAAGGCCAACACAGGCACCCUCCUCCUGCUUUGUCUGGACGUAAGCAGCUGAGGCUUGGCCCUGCCUCGUCAAGAGGUCUACCUGGCUGCAGAGGCUCAGCCUCCCCCCUGAGCAUUGUGGGGUGUCUUCCACUCUCCCCAUCACACGCUAAGCUCUUUCCUUCUUGCCAUGGGGCAUCAUGACAACAUAUUUAGCAAAAUGCCACAGCUGUCAUACGUGUGUUUCUCUAGCUGCUGCUUCUGAGCCAGCUUCCCAGGCCUCGGAUAGACCAGAGUUUGCUCAUCAUGCCAUCUCUUCAGUGACUGAUUACGUGGGAAUUCGGGAAGUGCCGACUUUCCCUGGAUGACUGGGUUUCUUGAUGUGACACUCCUCUCAGCAAAUCCUACCUUCCUUUCCCUUUGCAAUUCUUGAGACCAUUUUCUACUUGACAAUAAAGUGACCUUAAGGCACCGUGUUCAUUUCAGUUUCAGACAGUUGUUUUGCUCCUUUUUUCCAAUGAGAGAAAGACACGAAGCCCCCUUCCCUGCUGCCGACUUUCUUGGUGUGCCCCUGAUGCCAGGCCGCCUGUGUCUUCACGGGAAACUCCACGGACCAGGGAGUCCGUGUAAGAUGUCUGGGUGAGUUGCGCCUUUCCUGGAUAGACAUGCAGGCUGUGCUAUGUCUUGAGAGGCACAGGGAAUCCAGUCACUGAGGCAUGCUCACCGUGGCUUCAACUGUGGGCAUUGAUUUCUUCCCUAAAACCCUGGAGGAGACACUUCGGGGCUGUUCUCCUGGCUUCUUCAGCUCAGAUCGCAGCCCUGCCCCAACACCACCUCGACGGUGAGCAGGCGCCAGUGGUGGUGGUUACAUGCACAGAGAUGUAUUCUUAGAGAUGGAGGUCCUGGGCCGAAGGCAGGUAGCAGCGUCCCCGUCCUGUACCCAUCCAGCUGCCUUCUAGGAAGCUGGGGCUGUGUCCUGUGCCCACAUCCCAUGGAUGGAGAGUUCUGUUUCACUCACCAUCAGCAGCACAAAGCUUCAUCAUUUGAAAUGUUUCCUUCAUGCUUCUAGAAGAAAGGUGUUUUCAUUUUAACUCCAGUCUCAUGGUGCUCACCUGCUGUGGUGCGUGUCUGUCUCCGCCAGCCGCAGGCACCAGCACAGGAGGCUUGUGUGGCCCAAUUCUGGCAUUGAUAUUUGGGGGGACGUGGGUAGAAAGGGCCCGAGCAAUGUUUACUAGUCCCUAAGAAAAGAGCCCAAGAGGACACAUCUCUUCCUCUUCCACUGGCCAUAGUCAGAUCUGAAUGUGAUGGUGGGACCGUUGCAGUGUCUCUCAACCCAGAGGCCUGGCUGCCUGAGAUGCGCAGAGCUCCUGAACUAACCAACCCUGAGCUCGCCCUGCCAGGAUCUGCACCUCCGUUCUUUAAGGACGUGCACUUGGUGCUGCUCGAGUCGUCAGACGUGUGUGUGUUCUCUGUGGCUGGCGCCUCCCACAUGCUGUCCCGUGGCCUCGCCCUCCUCCUACUGCUG